CCGUCCCCGUCCCAGACCCCGUCCUGCUCUGGACCCGGAACACGGACCCGGGUCUUGUUUGAGCUGCUGUUUCUGAUUAUUAUUCCGUCCUCUUCACUGUACCAGACAGUAUUUGGUUUGAAUCAGUGUUUUCCCCCCGGUGGGAGGAGUUAGGGGAGGGGUCACAUAGACAGACCACGCCCACGCCGCCCUGACCAUCGUAGGAAACACUGAAACGACAUCAUCAUUGUUGUUGUUGUUAUUGUCAUGACCAUAACUGACCGCUAGAGUAAACGACGAGCAGCGACCCGCUGACGCGUGAUCGGAGGAACCCGCGGGUUCCGUGGAUUAUAUCAUAGCAAUGAUUUCAACAAAAAAGGAGUUAUGUUAUCAUAAAUAAUAGUAGUAAUAUUGAAUAUUGAAUGCUCGCAAUUUUGUCAAACUGAAACUUGAUUCUUUGUGUUAUGUAAUUAUUGUAAAUAAUUCAAAGAGAGAAAAGAUGACUUGCAUGUCUAUGUAUAAAUCUACUGAGAUAUCUAUUCCUGUCAAAGUUGGCCAGCGGUUCGAUCUCUGUCCUUUUUCGCACACCUUCGUCCCGCUGACCUCACCUGGUCCCGGUGUCUAGCCCCGCCCCCUUCCACCUAAGGCCCCGCCCCCUUCCACCUCAGGUGGAGAGAUGGCGUCUAGCCCCGCCCCCUUCCACCUCAGGCCCCGCCCCCUUCCACCUCAGGUGGAGAGACGGCAGCAGAGAGGCGGAGAGACCUGUAGCUUCCGGCGCCGCCACCCUCCAUUGCUCCGUUCAGGCGCUGCGUCUACGCCGUCCCGUCAAACCUCACGUACCUUCACCGCCGCCAGGAGAAGGUCCGGGGCGUUGGCCGCCGUCCCGGCGUAAGCCCAACCCCCAACUUCCGCCCAUCACCCGUCCCAGAGGCUCCGCCCACUGGAUCCUCUGAUGAAAGUGCUUCCCUCCAUAUUU